AGUUACCAGCACGUUAUGGUGGGCACUCUAAGGAGAACUGCCGGUGGACAAACCGGAGGAAGGUGGGGAUGACGUCAAGUCAUCAUGGCCCUUACGGCCUGGGCUACACACGUGCUACAAUGGUCGGUACAAAGGGUUGCCAAGCCGCGAGGUGGAGCUAAUCCCAUAAAACCGAUCGUAGUCCGGAUCGCAGUCUGCAACUCGACUGCGUGAAGUCGGAAUCGCUAGUAAUCGUGAAUCAGAAUGUCACGGUGAAUACGUUCCCGGGCCUU
rnacentral:rRNA from 1 species